GACAGAGGGUGCAAACGUUGCUCGGAAUUACUGGGCGUAAAGGGCGUGUAGGCGGGCAGGUAAGUCGGGCGUGAAAUCCCUGGGCUCAACCCAGGAACUGCACUCGAAACUACUUGUCUUGAGUACCGGAGAGGAAAGCGGAAUUCCUGGUGUAGAGGUGAAAUUCGUAGAUAUCAGGAGGAACACCAGUGGCGAAGGCGGGUCUCUGGACAGUUCCUGACGCUGAGGCACGAAGGUCAGGGGAGCAAACGGG
rnacentral:rRNA from 1 species